UACGUAGGGCGCAAGCGUUGUCCGGAAUUAUUGGGCGUAAAGAGCUCGUAGGCGGCUUGUCGCGUCGGAUGUGAAAGCCCGGGGCUUAACUCCGGGUCUGCAUUCGAUACUGUCGGGCUAGAGUCCGGAAGGGGCGAGUGGAAUUCCUGGUGUAGCGGUGAAAUGCGCAGAUAUCAGGAAGAACACCCGUGGCUAAGGCGGCUCUCUAGUACGGUACUGACGCUGAGACGCGAAAGCGUGGGGAGCGAACAGG
rnacentral:rRNA from 1 species